rnacentral:lncRNA from 1 species
UAUGCGAUGUAUUCAAUAAAAAAUAAACAUCAUGGCUUCAUAAAUGUUAUGUUUUCAAUAUUGUAUAAAUAAUCUGACCGUUAAACCUUGGUACAGUAUAUACGUUCCUUGUUCAAACCAUAAUAAAAAUAUAAAGUUCCCAUAAAAUCAAACAGCUUCAGAUCGUCAUAUGGAAUUAAAAUCUUAGCAAAAAAGCCGCACCCACUUAUAAGAUAUAUAAAUGUCUUUACUCUGACAUAUAUAUUGGAAUUAACUAGAUGUUCUGUAUACAAUAUUAUGCAUGCUUCACAAUAUAUCAAAAUAAAAUGCUGAACGACCCAUCCCCC